rnacentral:rRNA from 1 species
UACAGAGACUGCAAGCGUUAUUCGGAUUCACUGGGCGUAAAGGGUGCGCAGGCGGUUGGGUGUGUCAGAUGUGAAAUCCCGAGGCUCAACCUCGGAACUGCGUCUGAAACUACUCGACUAGAGUACUGGAGAGGGUAACGGAAUUCACGGUGUAGCAGUGAAAUGCGUAGAGAUGCGGAGGAACACCGAUGGCGAAGGCAACCCCCUGGGCUGACACUGACGCUCAGGCACGAAAGCGUGGGGAGCAAACAGG